AUUGAACGCUGGCGGCAUGCCUUACACAUGCAAGUCGAGCGGCAGCGCGGGGGCAACCCUGGCGGCGAGCGGCGAACGGGUGAGUAAUACAUCGGAACGUGUCCUGUCGUGGGGGAUAACCAGUCGAAAGAUUGGCUAUUACCGCAUGACCUCGUAAGUGAAAAGCGGGGGAUCGCAAGACCUCGCGCGAUUGGAGCGGCCGAUGUCGGAUUAGCUAGUUGGCGGGGUAAAAGCCCACCAAGGCGACGAUCCGUAGCUGGUUUGAGAGAACGACCAGCCACACUGGGUCUGAGACACGGCCCAGACUCCUACGGGAGGCAGCAGUGGGGAAUUUUGGACAAUGGGGGCAACCCUGAUCCAGCCAUGCCGCGUGUGUGAAGAAGGCCUUCGGGUUGUAAAGCACUUUCGGCCGGAACGAAAUCGCGCGGGUGAACAUCCCGCGUGGAUGACGGUACCGGAAGAAGAAGCACCGGCUAACUACGUGCCAGCCGCCGCCGUAA
rnacentral:rRNA from 1 species